GUCGCUUUGACCCAUUCCCCAUUUCCCUUCUCAAUUUUAUUGUAGGUCAUUAAAUACUUGAUGUGGAAAUAUUUUAAAUCAUGCAAAAGUGUGGUGCCGUGCUUUUUACCUUUCAUGAAGUUAUAAGUUGCUUCAUGCUGCUAGAUCUCCCUGGUAUCUUCUUAGUUUUGUAUACAAAUCUUCAAAACACAUCUCAACGUCUUGAAACUAACGUAAACAACGUUUGGGCGGAAGCUGAC
rnacentral:lncRNA from 1 species